rnacentral:rRNA from 1 species
GAUGAACGCUAGCGGGAGGCCUAACACAUGCAAGCCGAGCGGUAUUGUUUCUUCGGCAAUGAGAGAGCGGCGUACGGGUGCGGAACACGUGUGCAACCUGCCUUUAUCUGGGGGAUAGCCUUUCGAAAGGAAGAUUAAUACUCCAUAACAUAUUGAACGGCAUCGUUCGAUAUUGAAAGCUCCGGCGGAUAGAGAUGGGCACGCGCAAGAUUAGCUAGUUGGUGAGGUAACGGCUCACCAAGGCGAUGAUCUUUAGGGGGCCUGAGAGGGUGAUCCCCCACACUGGUACUGAGACACGGACCAGACUCCUACGGGAGGCAGCAGUGAGGAAUAUUGGUCAAUGGGUGCAAGCCUGAACCAGCCAUCCCGCGUGAAGGACGACUGCCCUAUGGGUUGUAAACUUCUUUUGUAUAGGGAUAAACCUGCCCUCGUGAGGGUAGCUGAAGGUACUAUACGAAUAAGCACCGGCUAACUCCGUG